rnacentral:rRNA from 1 species
UGUGUAGGCGGUUUGGUAAGUCUGGUGUGAAAUCUCCCGGCUCAACUGGGAGGGUGCGCCGGAAACUGCCGGACUCGAGUGCGGGAGAGGAGAGUGGAAUUCCUGGUGUAGCGGUGAAAUGCGUAGAUAUCAGGAGGAACACCGGUGGUGUAGACGGCUCUCUGGACCGUAACUGACGCUGAAACACGAAAGCGUGGGUAGCAAACAGGAUUAGAUACCCUGGUAGUCCACGCCCUAAACGAUGCAUAUUUGGUGUGGGCCAUUCAGUUGAUCCGUGCCGGAGCUAACGCGUUAAAUAUGCCGCCUGGGGAGUACAGUCGCAAGGCUGAA